rnacentral:rRNA from 2 species
ACACAUGCAGUCGAGGGGUAUUGGUUUUCGGACCAAGAGACCGGCGCACGGGUGCGUAACGCGUAUGCAAUCUACCUUUCACAGAGGGAUAGCCCAGAGAAAUUUGGAUUAAUACCUCAUAGUAUAUAGGAAUGGCAUCAUUUUUAUAUUAAAGUCACAACGGUGAAAGAUGAGCAUGCGUCCCAUUAGCUUGUUGGUAAGGUAACGGCUUACCAAGGCAACGAUGGGUAGGGGUCCUGAGAGGGAGAUCCCCCACACUGGUACUGAGACACGGACCAGACUCCUACGGGAGGCAGCAGUGAGGAAUAUUGGACAAUGGGCGCAAGCCUGAUCCAGCCAUGCCGCGUGCAGGAUGACGGUCCUAUGGAUUGUAAACUGCUUUUGCACAGGAAGAAACAACAUUACGUGUAAUGUCUUGACGGUACUGUGAGAAUAAGGAUCGGCUAACUCCGUGCCAGCAGCCGCGGUAAUACGGAGGAUCCAAGCGUUAUCCGGAAUCAUUGGGUUUAAAGGGUCCGUAGGCGGUCUUAUAAGUCAGUGGUGAAAUCUCCCCGCUCAACGGGGAAACGGCCAUUGAUACUGUAAGACUUGAAUUAUUAGGAAGUAACUAGAAUAUGUAGUGUAGCGGUGAAAUGCUUAGAGAUUACAUGGAAUACCAAUUGCGAAGGCAGGUUACUACUAAUGGAUUGACGCUGAUGGACGAAAGCGUGGGUAGCGAACAGGAUUAGAUACCCUGGUAGUCCACGCC